CAUUUUUAGAUUUAAAUAUGACUUUAAUAACUGAAUAAAUACUUUUCUUCUAUAAAAAUAUAGAGAGACACUCUCGUUGAAUAUUGUUUUAGUAACGCAUGGGUAAGAUUUUCUAAACGAAGUGUGGCAACCCCAAUUACUUAAUAAAAAAUAAAAAUGUUAUAAAAUGAAAAUGGCGUCAUUUCACCAAAUAUCUUAAAACACAAAUUCACGAAUAAUAAAAUAAAUGUUUGCCACGGCCUGUUAAUAUUUAUGAAGACCUCUUCAUGGAUUGGAUUUAAGCAACCUGCUGUGUAAUAUCCUCGCCAUUCUUGAUGUUGAGAAGAUCUAUAAGUCUUUUACGUUUCAUCUGAGUGUUGUGGUUUUUCAUUAUGUUAAAAAUAAGACUUUGUUAGUUCAAGUGUCUCUAUAACUAUGAAGAAGAACAAAAGAAAAUGCUUUGAGUGUGGUUCUUCGCCUGCCGAUGAUCCAGAGAAGACCCUACAGAGAUUACCGAAACUUGAUUCUACAAAUUUAGUCUCCGGUAGCUUAAUCUGGAGCAACAUAAGGUUAAUUAUGAAAUGGUAAUGAAAAUAAACAUCUGAGAAAAGCAAAUUCCAUGAACUAAUUUGAAAGUAUCUGUUACCAGAAGUAAAUUUUUUACUAUACCACUGUUCAAUAUUAAACCACAGGUAUAUGUACUAAAGGCAGGACGGCAGCAACUUCUAUGUAGAAGAAAGAGAGAAAGAAGAAUAAGUAUCCAAAGCUGCUCUUAGUAGGAUCUUACCAAAUUUGGUUAAGCAGGGAGAACAACACAAGUAGGGGAGUUUAAUCAAUUGUCAAGGAAUUCCUUAACCCUACAUCCUGUAGUCACAACUCCAGGACUCUGCUCGGAGUAUUUCUCUCUACCAGGCGAUGGACCUGGCACCUGCACGGAAUGCUAAGAUAUUCAUCUGUCUCUUCAUGCGUAGUAUGUUUAUGUAUUUUUAAUUAAAUUUACUCACUCUCUUUAUUUCAGUAAUGUCCAGAUAAUCAAUGAUUAGACUAUUGGACUUUUAGAAUAAAUUUUACAUUGAACUAUGAAUGGUUUGUCAUCUACAUUUUUAAAAAAGACGAGAUGUUUUGCCUGUAAGAAGAAGAGAGAGAGAGAAUAAGAAGUUAAGUUAAACACCUACUGUAAAAUGCACACUGCUCCAAUGUAGGUUGAUAGGCUUGGGGUAAUAAAGUUAAAUUAUAAAAGGAUCACUAUCAGGUGUUAAUGAUAAUGACUGGGAUAUAUAGCAUAUCAUACUCUCUGAGAUAUAGGGAUAUAACACCAGCAACAGCUCUCCAGUGAUAGCAUCAUUGCUCUUUGCAUCUACAUGCCAUUGCCAGUUGUGGCAAUCAAACUCAUCAUAUUAGUGUGAUGAGCAUGGAUGUAUUUCAGUGUCUAUGUGGUUGUGAGUGUAUGCCCAUGUUAAAUAACAAGUAAUGGCCCAAAUAAUAAGUAGCCUAUAUCUUGCUCAAUAAUCUUCUCUAUCUUCCAGUAAAAGUCCCAUUAAAAUGACCCUGCUGUUCCAGAGAUUAGCUCAAACAAACAGACAGAUGAACAUUUUAAAGAAGUAUGGCUGUAUGUCAGUAUUGUAUAUAGGCACUUGAGAAAACACAGUUAUUUUGAAAUCACAGACAUAUACUUAAAUUUUAUUUAUACGUAUUGGUGCUGUUCAUAAAUAUAGCAUCAGCUGAAACAAACUAGGCAUAGUUAAGUUACAUUUUAUACAGGGUACUCGGGCCUAUUUUUCAUAAAUUCAAGGUGUUGACAAGUCCACUUAUAGCUACCUUAGCUACUAGUUUAUAUUGAGGAGAACUUUCCACCUAGAUGGGUUGUGACUGUAUUAGGGGUCUGGUGAUGAAGACGAAGGACAGUUAAGAGAACUCCUCAACAGUUCACAGUAGCUACCAUGUGUUGAUAAAUUUGUAUUGAUGAGAACUUUCCACCUAGAUGGGUUGUGACUGUAUGAGGGGUCUGGUAAUGAAGACAGUUAAGGGAACUCCUCGAUGGUUCACAGUAGUAAUUAGUUUGAUUCUAAGUCAGACGCAAUCAAAUACAAUGUUUUAUCACGACUCAUAGCAACAUACCUUUGGCGCUAGAUCAAUAUCUAGGAUGAUUUCACUAAAAAUGGAAAAAUAAAAAAUUUUAAUAAAAGAAAUUCAACCAACUUCAAAAACAUAAAACAUACUGGCUAAACUAAAAAGCGAAAAAUAAUAUUAUACUAAGUUCAUAUCAUAUUAUGUUCUAACUGAUGAUCAGUUUGAAGGCUGUGCUACACCGGUGUUGUUUUAAUUUAAGCUGUUACUGAAAGAACUACAUGAAAGAACACUGUCUUAAAAACCUAAAUAUUUAUGAUAUUCUUACAUGGCUUGAAUUAAUACAUCAUUGGGCUAGCACCACCUUCAAACUGAUCAUCAGUUAGAACAUAAUAUGAUAUAUAGAACUUAGUAUAAUGUUAUUUUUCGUUUUUUAGUUUAGUAAGUAUGUUUUUGAAGUCGGUUGACUUGUUUUUAUUAAAGUUUUUUAAUACACAUGUUCCUUAGACAUUUUGAAUUAAUUUUCCUUAUAGAACUUGGAGCUACCCUAGAGUUAUGGGAAAUACUCCCGAGCAUCCUGUAGAUGCUACUUAAUCCUACUAAUCCUUCAUUCAUCAGUAUCGGUUGGUGGGCUUGGAGUUUAUAAAAAGUUCAGUACCAACAAACUCACAAAAAAUGAGCCCAAAUUUAGCAUUACUUGCAAGCCAGACUAAGAAAUUUCAAGAAGAUAAUUUAAAAGAAGACAAUAGAAUAAACAGAUAAACAGAUGGAAACCAGGCAAUAGGUGUAGCAAAAUAGAAGAUGAAGGUCUAGCUGUGCCAGUGCUGAGCCACACAGUUGCUACUGGCAUGUUUGCAAAAUAGCACAAGGUGUAGCAAAAUAGAAGAUGAAGGUCUAGCUGUGCCAGUCAGUGCUGAGCCACACAGUUUUUGCUGGCAUGUUUGCAAAAUAGCACAAGGUGUAGCAAAAUAGAAGAUGAAGGUCUAGCUGUGCCAGUGCUGAGCCACACAGUUGCUACUGGCAUGUUUGCAAAAUAGCACAAGCUGUAGCAAAAUAGAAGAUGAAGGUCUAGCUGUGUCAGUGCUGAGCCACACAGUUGCUGCUGGCAUGUUUGCAAUAUAGCACAAGGUGCUGUAAAAUGAAGAUAUAUUGUUAAAUAUCAUGAGAUAGAAAUAAAAGAUGAAGAUCUAGCUGUACCCGUCCCGAGCCACACUACUGCAGCCACGUUGCCGCUGGCAUUUUUGCAAAAUAGCACAAGGUCACAACAAUUGAUGUAACAAAUAUAAUCAAUGGACCAGGCACCUGCACCAUGAUUCUUUGGAAUACUAAAAUUCGUCUCUUUAUGUCUGUACUUCUCAUAAUGAAAAAUGUCACGUUUUUAUGAAAGAAAUAAUGGAAUCAAAUAAUAAAUAAAACAAGCAUAUGCUGGAAGUCCUCAGAAACAGCUCCGACUUUGAUGAUUUUUUUUAAAGUCAUGUUUUUUAUGUUAUUUAAAAUCAUAAAUGUUUUGGUGGACGAAAUUAUUUAAAUUGUUAAAAAUAUCUAUGCUUUUUAUACAUAUAUAUAUAUUUUUUAAAAUACAACCGACUUCAAAAAUACAAACUUAUGCAGAAAACUAACAAACGAAAGAAAAUAUUAUAAUAUUUUCUAUCUAUUGAUCACUUUGAAGGCGGUGCCAAUGGUCCAAUUAAUGGGCCGACAAUUAGUUAUCUAUUGUUUACUAGCUAUAGGGUUCGAAUUGCUUUUUCAUAUGUUUAAAAGACUAUCAUCGGAAUGAACCCUUUAUAAUAAAAAAGUAUUAUCAAAAUCGGACCGGUCCGACCUGUUUAACCAUUAAUUUUAGUAUACAACCGAUCGGUUGUAUACUAAAAUUAAUGGUUAAACAAUCAAUCAUCCCCUGUUUUCGUAAUGUAAAACCAAGCAUAACUGUUAACAUGAGUAGUCCGAUUUUGAUAAUUCUUUUAAUUGAUCAUUCUUGAUUGUUUUAGUUUAAAACCAAGCAUGUCUUCGAAUUCCGAUUUAAAUAACUUUGUUUUAAAUAGAAAGGGUAUAUUCCGACAAUGGUCCCAAAUCAUUAUAAAUUUAAAAAAAACGAAGAUGACUGGUUAUUUUCCCAUUAAUUGUAUUGUAAAACUAUGCGUAACUUAUUACGAAGUGGUCCGAUUUCGUAAAUUCUUUAUAGAUUGUAAAGGUAUUUUGAUUGUAAAGCUCCCAUAUAAAUUUUAAAAAACAAUUCCAAUCCUAAAUGUGCGAUUGAUUGUUUUCUCAUUCAUUUUAAUGUAAAACCAAGCAUAACUUUUUAUUGGGUGGUUCGAUUUUGAUUAUUCUUUUUUUGAUAGAAAGGGUAUAUUCCUAAAAGUCUCAUAAAAUGUUAGAAAACAAUUUCAAAACUAAUAGUAGGAAAAUAGAACAUGAUUAA